UUGUAUGCCGGAAGGGAUAAAUCUGGGGCUGAGUACAAGCAAAACAAGACCAAAGGAAGCUACCUGAGCAGUCACUGGAGCCCUAAUGAUCGCAGCCAUUUCAGGAAAUGCCAUCAAUUACAGUGAGGAGCUCAUUCAGAAGUGAAAGAUGAGUUCCAUUCUCUGUUACUUAGAGAUGUCAAGGAACUUUCCUCCUGAUUGAUUUUCUACAUGCUUUAUCUCUCAUCCAUCUAGUCCCCAUUUUCUCCUUUCACUGAACACAAUUAUUUCUGGAAAGAGUAUUACACUCAGUAUUCUGCAUUUCAUAUGGCAUUUCAAAGUCCUGAGAAUGACUCUCCGUAGUCUUCUAUGUACUAAUUAAACAUGAACAUGUGGUAAACAACAUGGACUAUUCCAGUGGACAGAAAGCGUCAAGUUAAAAUGUUUAAGUGCCCCAUAUUUUUCUAAGUAUUCUUAUCCAGUUGGUCUGACUGGUCAUUAUCUGUUUUGUAAAACUUCCCAAACAACUCAUCAAUAUUUAAAUAGCUAUCCAAAUUAUAAACUUCAAAUAGCAGAAUCCAAAUGUCAUUUAUGCAUAAUUCAAAAGAACUUUGCUGAAAACAAUCUUUGGAUUACAAUUGCUCUCUAAUCCACCUCUUGAAUUUCUACAUAAGAAUUCAAUGCCAAUGCAAUUCAAAUCAAUUCAUUCAUGGUUGAUGUUAAAACUUCCUUUAAGAGGAUAGUAUGGCAGAAACAAAACUGAAUUUGAACAAGAGGGAAACUGCAGAAGAUAAACAUUUUUUCUGUAGAAAGUUUCCAACUUUUACAUUUUUGUGGUAAUUUUUAACAUUAUAGGUAUAAUUAAAUUAUCACUAAAGUUAUAUCUAUUAAUCCUAAGUGGUUUAAAAUAAUUUCUCUGUUCAAACUGAUGCAGCUCGCUAUUACAAUUUAAUAUAAUUUUUUCAAACUAUAAUUGAUUUCUAAGACUAGUAAAAUUUUUGAGCUACCAUUAACCCCAAAAUAUCUGGAAAAAGAAAAUCAUCAUAGGUAACUCCUGAUGACUCCUACCUCUUUCAGUCACAUACUUAGCAUUAUCUGCUGUACAGGUUUAAAGAAUGUUGGUCACAGGAUUGAAGUGAAUAUUUCAUUUAUGUGUAGCCAAAAUAUUAUCAUAUGAAGCCCAAAAGAAGAGUAAAAUACAUCCUUGUGAUAUUAUUAACAUGACUUUGUGCCAGACAAAGCAUAGUUACUCUACAGAUGGAUUAUGAAUAGAGAAAAAGUGUGUAGUUGAAUUCUUUGGAAUUAUGGACUAUAUUCCAUAAAUCCCAGAUGGAGUCACUAUGAUUAAUGUUACCUCAAUGAAUACAAAAUGAAUAAAUAAUUAUCCUCCACUUACUGUAAAG
rnacentral:lncRNA from 1 species